CCCCCAUCGACAAGUGAAAGUAAAGGUGAGUCUGUUUUAGUAGAGUUUGAGGAGAAGCAGAAUGAACUUCAAACAUACUCACCAGAUAAUUUGCAUUGAAUGCAAAUGCAAAACUUUGUUUCCCACCCACAUUUCCGCUGCUGAGUCUCCUUUGGCUGUUAACUCCACUCGAAUCCAGAUUGCACAUAAAGACUGAGUGGACUUGCACUGACUGAUACGUGAAAUUGAGCUCACAACAAUGACAACAACGAAUCCUCCACGUUACCUUCCAUUUCAGGACAGCAUGUAUGAUGGGAAUGGGGAUCAACAAUCA